rnacentral:rRNA from 1 species
UACAGAGGGUGCAAGCGUUAAUCGGAAUUACUGGGCGUAAAGGGCUCGUAGGCGGCCAACUAAGUCAGACGUGAAAUCCCUCGGCUUAACCGGGGAACUGCGUCUGAUACUGGAUGGCUUGAGUUUGGGAGAGGGACGCGGAAUUCCAGGUGUAGCGGUGAAAUGCGUAGAUAUCUGGAGGAAUACCGGUGGCGAAGGCGGCAUCCUGGACCGACAUUGACGCUGAUGAACGAAAGCUAGGGGAGCAAACGGG